rnacentral:tRNA from 1 species
GGGGAAUUAACUCAGUGGUUAGAGUGGCGUCCUGUUAAGUCGCUGGUCGGUGGUUCGAGUCCACCAUUCCCCGCCA